AUGAACGCUGGCGGCGUGCCUAAUACAUGCAAGUCGAGCGAACAGACGAGGAGCUUGCUCCUCUGACGUUAGCGGCGGACGGGUGAGUAACACGUGGAUAACCUACCUAUAAGACUGGGAUAACUUCGGGAAACCGGAGCUAAUACCGGAUAAUAUAUUGAACCGCAUGGUUCAAUAGUGAAAGACGGUUUUGCUGUCACUUAUAGAUAGAUCCGCGCCGCAUUAGCUAGUUGGUAAGGUAACGGCUUACCAAGGCAACGAUGCGUAGCCGACCUGAGAGGGUGAUCGGCCACACUGGAACUGAGACACGGUCCAGACUCCUACGGGAGGCAGCAGUAGGGAAUCUUCCGCAAUGGGCGAAAGCUUGACGGAGCAACGCCGCGUGAGUGAUGAAGGUCUUCGGAUCGUAAAACUCUGUUAUUAGGGAAGAACAAAUGUGUAAGUAACUAUGCACGUCUUGACGGUACCUAAUCAGAAAGCCACGGCUAACUACGUG
rnacentral:rRNA from 1 species